GACGAACGCUGGCGGCGUGCUUAACACAUGCAAGUCGAACGGAAAGGCCCCAGCUUGCUGUAGUGCUCGAGUGGCGAACGGGUGAGUAACACGUGGGCAAUCUGCCCCUCACUCUGGGAUAAGCCUUGGAAACUGCGUCUAAUACCGGAUAGGACCUUUCUCCUCAUGUGGUUCGGCUGAAAGUUUUUCGGUUCAGGAUGAGCCCGCGGCCUAUCAGCUUGUUGGUGGGGUAAUGGCCUACCAAGGCGACGACGGGUAGCCGGCCUGAGAGGGUGAUCGGCCACAUUGGGACUGAGAUACGGCCCAGACUCCUACGGGAGGCAGCAGUGGGGAAUAUUGCACAAUGGGCGAAAGCCUGAUGCAGCGACGCCGCGUGAGGGAUGACGGCCUUCGGGUUGUAAACCUCCUUCAGUAGGGACGAAGCGCAAGUGACGGUACCUGCAGAAGAAGCACCGGCUAACUACGUG
rnacentral:rRNA from 1 species